rnacentral:lncRNA from 1 species
UUGAACGGAUUGCCCCAACCCAUAAAUUUCUCUUUUUAUUACUAUCUAUUACGCCAAUUUUCUCCAAACCCGCGAAGACAUAAACUCGGAAAAUUUCACUGUAAAUCUUCUCGGAUUACUCCAACACAUCAUUCUCUUUCUUUAUCACAAUCUUUUAUGCCAAUUCUUUCCCAAAUCCACAAACAAAAACAAAAGGUUGGAGUCCUAAAAAAUAAAAUUUUCAAAGUUUCAUCGUAAAUUUCAUCUUUUGACAAUGAUGGUUUUUGAUAUGGAAAGAAAUGGAAAAUGGUUUUUCUUGGUCAAUAUAUUGGUUAUUAUUGGCAAUCACUACAUGGUUUCAGAUUUUCAAUAUUCGAUUAGGAUUAUGAUCUUAUGAUUAAUAUAAAAAGUAAUAUUAUUCAGUCAGUCCCGUGCUAAACAGUGGUCUAGUGGCAAUCAAAUAGCAUUAAACAAUAUAUUUAUUUACGUAAGUUA